rnacentral:misc_RNA from 1 species
AAUUUGCGUUAGGGACCGUAGCGGCAUCCCCGAAGUGGAGCGAGGGAUAUAGCGGAGUGCCCGCCCGACG